UACGAAGGGGGCUAGCGUUGCUCGGAAUUACUGGGCGUAAAGGGCGCGUAGGCGGCUUUUUAAGUCAGGGGUGAAAUCCUGGAGCUCAACUCCAGAACUGCCUUUGAUACUGAGAAGCUUGAGUCCGGGAGAGGUGAGUGGAACUGCGAGUGUAGAGGUGAAAUUCGUAGAUAUUCGCAAGAACACCAGUGGCGAAGGCGGCUCACUGGCCCGAUACUGACGCUGAGGCACGAAAGCGUGGGGAGCAAACAGG
rnacentral:rRNA from 1 species